UCACGGGGCCACGGCUACCGCAGGUGAGGGUCAUGGGACCACAGCUACUGCAGGUGAGGGUCACGGGGACCAGGACUACCGCAGGUGAGGGUCACGGGAACCACGGCUACCGUGGGUGAGGGUCACGGGGACCACAGCUACCGCAGGUGAGGGUCACGCUGCCACACCAGACCAGCCGGGCUCUGCAGAGAGACAGAACCAGGGCGACACAGAUGUCCGCAGACAGACACAUAUAUACGUUUAUUUUAAGGAACUGGCCCGCGUGACUCUGGGGACUGUCAGGUCUGAAACCUGCGGCGGCAGUGGGCUGGAAACAUGGGCAGGGGCUGGGGCUGCGUUCCCCGGGCGGCAUUUCUUUCCAGCUCUUGCUUUUAAGGCCUUCCGCUGAUUGGAUGAGGCCUGCCCCACUGACUGGGAUAAUCUCCUUCACUGAAAGCCAAGCGACUGUAAAUGUCAGCCAUAUCUACAAAACACCUUCACAAGGCCGGAUGAGAGCUGCAUUAAUAACCGGGCACUAUAGCCACGCCAAGAAACCCGGACCAAGACUCGAAGCCCUGGUGCUACGUCUUCAAGGCGGGCAGGUACAGCUCAGAGUUCUGCAGCACGCCCGCCUGCUCCAAGCG